rnacentral:rRNA from 1 species
CCUACGGGAGACAGCAGUGAGGAAUAUUGGUCAAUGGGCGGGAGCCUGAACCAGCCAAGUCGCGUGAGGGAAGACGGUCCUAUGGAUUGUAAACCUCUUUAGGCGGGGAGCAAUGCCGGGCACGCGUGCCCGGAGGGAGAGUACCCGCAGAAUAAGCAUCGGCUAACUCCGUGCCAGCAGCCGCGGUAAUACGGAGGAUGCGAGCGUUAUCCGGAUUGAUUGGGUUUAAAGGGUGCGUAGGCGGAUUUUUAAGUCAGCGGUAAAAUGUCCGGGCUCAACCCGGGCCGGCCGUUGAAACUGGGGAUCUUGAGUGGGCGAGAAGUAUGCGGAAUGCGUGGUGGAGCGGUGAAAUGCAUAGAUAUCACGCAGAACUCCGAUUGCGAAGGCAGCAUACCGGCGCCCGACUGACGCUGAGGCACGAAAGCGUGGGGAUCGAACAGGAUUAGAUACCCGGGUAGUC